UACGUAGGGGGCAAGCGUUGUCCGGAUUUACUGGGCGUAAAGAGCGUGUAGGCGGCUAGAUAGGUCCGUUGUGAAAACUCGAGGCUCAACCUCGAGACGUCGAUGGAAACCAUCUGGCUAGAGUCCGGAAGAGGAGAGUGGAAUUCCAGGUGUAGCGGUGAAAUGCGUAGAUAUCUGGAGGAAUACCGGUGGCGAAGGCGGCAUCCUGGACCGGCAUUGACGCUGAGGAGCGAAAGCUAGGGGAGCAAACGGG
rnacentral:rRNA from 1 species